UCAGUACACGAUUACUUCUCAAGUGAGUUGGUCACGAUAAAAUAUUAAGUCAAGCCAAGUUUUAAUUUAAGAAAGUUUUUAAAAUGAACUGUCCUUGUGGAAGUGGUUGCAAAUGUGCCACACAAUCCCAGAGCGGAGGCUGUGCUUGCGGACCGUCAUGCAAAUGUGCCACGAACAAAAAGUAAUGUCCAGCUGAAAUAAAGCAGAAACAAAAUAAGAAUCAUGGCAGACAAACUGUAGUAUUAUGCAUCACAUCAAUUGUUUAUUUACGUAUAUACACGAUAUCAACCUAUGUAUGUCAAUUUAUCUUUACAUAAACAAAAAGCGAUGAAAAUAAACUUCAUUGACCUCUAAGGAAAAAAA
rnacentral:lncRNA from 1 species